UCCCUGAUGGUCCAGUGGCUGAGACUCUGCUCUCCCAAUGCAGGGGGCCUGGGUUUGAUCCCUAGUUAGGGAA
rfam:Ovis aries breed Texel chromosome 2, whole genome shotgun sequence.